rnacentral:tRNA from 6 species
GCGAGAGUAGCUCAGUUGGUAGAGCGUCAGCCUUCCAAGCUGAAUGUCGCCGGUUCGAACCCGGUCUCUCGCUC